CCUCCCUCGCGGAAACGUGGCCCUUGCUCUGGCUGGUGUGGCUCGUGGCAGCGUGCUGGGCAUCCUGGCAGUUUGGCGGGUUGCAGCUUGCAGAUCUACAGGACUUUACACAAAUUUACAAAGCCUUCCACAUCCUCGUUCUGGUUUGAGCUUCGCAGCAGCUCAGAAAGGCAGGCAGGACAGGACAGGAUUAUGGUCUCCUAUGAUAUCCCAGGAUAACUCUUGAAAUACUGCAUUCUCCAGGUUAAACAUCUCCGUUGCUUCACCCAAUCCAACAGCAUGAUCUAAAGGCCUUUUACAGUUCCAGUCACCCUCUUCUAGAUGCCUUCUACCUUAUCCAGGUUCUUCCUAAAAGGUGAUUUUUGAUCCAGUUCAGAACUGAAUGAAACAUUCUAAAUGAGGCAAGUCCAAGAAAGAGUAUAUUGGGACUCUUACCUCCCUUGGUCUGGAGUCUUUGUUUCUCCUAAUGUAGCCUGAGAUCAUAUUUGCUUUUUUGGCUGCCAUAUCACACUUCUGAUUCAUGGAGCCUUCGAUUCCCUCAGAUUCCUGGGUUGUUUUUUUUUUCAGACAAAUUGCCAUCAAGCUCUACCUAGCCUUUCCUAUACUUGUGAAAUUGAAUUUUUCAAUCCUUGUUUUAGAUUUUAUAUUUAUUUUCGUUAGGUUUCUCCUUAGUAGAUUUGCCUUAUUAUUCUAGCUAGAGAUAUUUCUUUCUUCUUCAUUACAUAGAGGAAAAGACCAAAGUCUGGAGAGGUAGCAAUUAUUUUUCCUCUUUGCAAUUUUAUCUUGAGUCCAGUCUGUGGACAUGAAGACAAAUGAUUUCUGUGGACAUAUGGAAUACAGAUGGCCAGCCGGAAAGUGCCAUGGACAUAUAGCAUCUGACCAAAAGGUGAAGGGCCAUCUAUUCAAAGGUUUGUAUUCUGUCUUCUCUGAAGGGGAAACUGCUCACUUUCAUUCUUUUUGAGACAGGCUUCUUGGGAUCCUCUAAGAGUUUUAAAAUAGCUAGAGCUUUCUCAACUCCAUCCAGUGAAGCUUGCUAGCAAACCCAAGAACACACAAACCCGUAGCCAGGACUGGCAAGAUUUUCUGAAGAACACUACUUUAUUUAAGCAAACUAGACAUUCGUGAAGUAGCACUAAGAAGUUGAUCUGAGAGUCUUCUUUCAUUCAACAUAUAUGUAUGAGGCAAAGCCCUAGGUUACAGGGCAGUCAUGAUACAGUCAAUGAGUGAAUGAGUGAAUGAAUGAAUGAAUGAAUAAAUGAAUGAAUGAAUGAAUGAAGUAUUUAUUUGUUAAACACUAACUAUGUGCAAAACACUAUGGAUUGGAUCCCAGCCCCACUACUAUCUGUGUAAUCUUAGGCAGGUCAUCUCAACCCUCUGAGCCUUAAUUUCCUAAUGUGUAAAAUGAAGGACUUGGACUAGAGUUCAAAUAUUCUUUAUAGUGCUAAAGCCUCUGAUCCAAAUUAUUUCUCCAAGGUCUCAUAGGUAUUCAGGACAUUAGAAGUAUGAAUUCAGGUCCUCUGACUUUAUAUAAAGUGUACUUUCCACUAUCCCUUGUUUCAACGGAGAUUGGAGAUUGAAGAAAUAGAGUGGGUAGAGACUUUACUCCCAAAGAUGUGGAGGAAGUCUUGGCCUACUAUUUGGGUAGAGAAAGUAUACUUUCCAUCGAGUGUUUGGGAUGCUUUUGAAGGCAAAUUGGAUGCCUACAGCUCCUUCCUCUCUCCCAUGGAUUGCCUAAGAACAGUACUACCUAUGAGGUACCUGAGCCAGUGAUAUGGCCACAGCUAGAAAUAGGAGAGCCAAAAUUCAGUCACAUCACUGAAACCUUCGUUUUUUCAGUUAGUCUCUUUUUAACCAAAAAGCUGUGAUCUCUCAUAAUUUUUUUUGAAAUGUGAUUAAUUUCCCCUUUCCAGUUUGCUUACCAAAUAUCAAUGUCAGUGGCUAAGUUUGAAGACAAGAUACUGACACAACUGAGGUAGUUGCCCUCCCUGAUGCAAUUCCCAUUCCCAGUGUGGAGAGAAAAGAGGUAGGAAGGGUGGAAAGGAUUGCUAACAAGGGCAUUUACAUUAGGGAAAACGGCAUACCAGACUAGGAAUGAGAGCCAAACUCUCAAGGACCCCUGAUCCUUUGAAGCAAUUGUGUUCUCCAUCCCCUUAGCCCAUUCUAGACCUCUAUAGGACUAGCCUUUCACUCAAAAUUUGCAAACUACAUUAUGUGCAAUUUAUUGAAAAUGGCAAUGAUGGCAUGGAAGCCUGGAGUCCAAAACCAAGAAAUUCCAUUUCUCUUGUAUCCUUAUGAGACAAAAUCCUAACUUUGGGAGUGAAAGCUCAAUUAGUGUCUCCUUUUUUUUUAGUUCAUGUUCUGUUGAUAAGAAAAUUCAAAAGGUCUCAAGCAGUCAUUUCACUCACCUAAGUUACACCUUAAGAUUCUUCCUUACAACUCUGGUUAUACCAGAGGAAUCAGUUGUCACCAGACAUAAAAUGUGAAAACAUGAUGUUCCUGUUGAGUGACCUUUGUGAUGCAGUUUAUUUCACCUUUCCCUUUUAAGAGAAGCUAUUAGUCUCAACUUUAUGUAGAAUUCAAAUUAUUGUUGUUUGAACAAUGUCCUAUAAAGGUGGAUUAAGAUUCUCAGGAGAGGACAGAUUUACCAUCGAAUUACUUUCGGGACUUUACAGGGAGGACCCAUUAGUUUAAAGUCCCAUCUUAACUAGCUGUACCUUUGCUAUUGUAGAGAACAUGGGAAAUCAGGAAAAGUUAAAGGUUUAUCUAGCACUUUGGGCAGUAUCAAAGCACUAAAAAAUGUCAUCUGAUAUUUAAACAGCCUUAAUAAAUUACAUGGAAUUUCUGAGGCCUUAGAUGGGUAACCCACUAUACUACUCAGGUUCUCUUUGCUCUUGUUUUAAAUAGGAACUCAAAUAUUUCUCCCUCCAGCAGUUCCAGGAUAGGCCCUCUUAUCAUGUGCUUGACAAAGCAGGUAAGUUUCAGCCAGGGCUCAGAUCGAAUUGGUCUGACUCCAAAUUCAAUUGUCUUUCCUAGAGCAUCCUGCACAGAGAGAUGGAGGAAGGAAGAAAAAAGGGAUUGUAACUGCUCAUAUUUCUAUCAUACUUUAUAUGUUUAUAGGGCACUCUUUCAGUUACAGCCUUUAAGGCAAGUAGUGUCAGUAAUAUUGUCUCCAGUUUUUAGAUGUGGAAACUCAGGCUAAGAGAAGCUGUGACUUGUAAAAACCUAGAAUUUAGGGCUAGAAGGGCCAGUAGAGAUCAUUCCCUCACUUUGGAUAGGAAAUUGAGACCCAGAGAAAGACAGUGACUUGCUCAGAGUCAUAUGAUAGAACCAAUAUUUGGACCCAGAUUCUUUGACUCUAGAACCAGAGCUUUUCCCCCUGUGUCACAAGGAAAAGAGAAGAAAGAGAGUAACCAAGGACUUAAAAUAGUGCUUCCAUGCCUACUUGGCCUCCUCCAUCACUGCAGGGUUGGAGCAAAGAGGCAGCUGGUAACUAUAUUGAACACUGGGUAGUUAGUCACACCAGUGCUGUGUUAAUUGAAUUACCUUUGACAGUGAAGAGCAAACCUAGUGGGCGAUCUCCUAAAGGAAAUUGAUGAAUGGGUUCCCGAAAAUCAAUUACCAUCUCGGUGGCAGUGAGCUGCUGCAGGGGCACAUCCCGCUGCUCUGUGGGGACCAGCAACUGUUUGGAGUGAUGGCAACAAAUGUGAGAUGGAGGGAAAGCACACAGCCCUGACCAUGGCUGCCCGACCUCUGCUGCCCAACAUGAAAGAAAAAACAGGAGUCAAACAGGAGCUGCAAGGAUGACAGUAAAUCACUGGAGCUCUGGCCUCAGCGUUGAUAUAGGAUGCUUUCCAAAUGCUUGAUUAAUCCUUGGCAGUAUAUUAAAAGGAGACACAGCAAAGUCGAUAGCUGGUCAUGAAGCUGAUACAGCACGACUGAUAGUGAGGGAACAUCUGCUAGCUCUCAUUCUGUUUGCCGAGAGGUUGGUAGUGAAUUCUUUGGGUGGGGGAUAGCACAGAGGAAAAUGAUCUGUUAGUAUGGGAUAUAUUCCUCUCCCUUCUUCUCUAGACGGUUGAUCAUUAGAACGGAUUUUCUUUCCCUCUCUUUGACUGUUUCCUAUUCGAAUUACUUAUCACCACCCCUAACCCCACCUUAAAAAAAAAUAACAUGACCCCUGUCUCAUUGAAACAUGAUUCCAUGCACAGCAAAAGGAAACCCGUGUAAUAAGGCCCAGAUGCUAUAGAUAAUACAAUUCAGCGCCCCAAAUUAUGGUUGAGUAAUUUGAAGGUCAUAGUCUAAACCUACAAAAGCUAGGAAAUUCCCCAUUGAGGCUUCCUUUCCUUCCUUAGCCCUUUGCUGGGUUCAAAAAGAGGAAAGAGACUAAAGCCUAUACCAGGAAGCAUUCCCUUCCAAUUUGGUUCUGACCCCAAGGCCUAGCCUCAGAGCUUAGGCCUAGAGGUUACUGAGUCCCUUUUAAAAGUAAAGAAAUGGAGGCAACAGAGAGCAAAACAACUUGCUAAAUUUUGGCAAAAACCCCCACCCAAUAUGGACCCAACUGGGCAGACCUGAAGUCACAACUCCUUUUUGAGUUGUUCUUACCCCUUGAUACAGUGAACAUUCUAGGAAAAUUUGCAGUAGGUAUUAUUUUUCACCUAUCCAUAAGAAUGCUUGUUACCAAGUAUUCCUAGGAAUGGGUAAUAUAGCACAGUGGAUAUUAUUGUUCCCAUUUACUGAGGAAACAGGCAUUUCAGUGACUUGCUCAAGGUCACGGAAAUAUGAGCUCAUAGGAUUUACCUGUAAGAGACAUUAGAGAUGAUCUAGCCUAAGCUCUUCAUUUUACAGACAGAAAAACCAAGUCUAAGAGAGAAGUGUUUUGCCCAAAAUCUCUAUGAUGAUAAAUAGCAGAGCCAGCAGUCAAACUUAAACCCAGGGGUCUUCCUCCUAAAGCCAUAAGGCUGUCUCAUAGAUAUGACAUCAUUCCCUGUGGUCUCCAAGCCACCAGAGAUCGAUAUUCCCAUGAGGCAAAUACUGUAUGUCAUUUGAAUAAAUGUAUGUUUCCAAAAUAUCUAGCAAAAGAAUUAUAUAUCAAUCUACAACUCAUCAAAUAAAAAUAUCAGCUAUAUAAGCUCUUACUUAGAGAUUGAGAUAGAUUUAUUAAAAACCUGGAAAAUGAGAUAAAGAACCCAAAUGCUUUAGUACUCCCUGCUGGGUUGGCAUAUUGUCGAAGGGAUGCAUUGGUCUAGAAUGGGAUUGGAGCUGUUGGAAGGGACCUUAAAAGUUAUCUAGUUCAAGAUUCUCUGGUGGUUAUGAAUAUGAGUGGCAGAAUGGUCUGGUGGAAAGAAAAUGGACCCGAGAGGUAGUAGUCCUGGGCCUAGAUUCUGAUUCUGCCACUAACUAGCUUUGUGAUCUCAGGCAAGUUAUUCUGUGCCUUAGUUUCCUCUGUUAAAUAGAUCAUAGAUCUAGAGCCAGAAAGGACCUCAGAGACCAUAUAGUCCAACUCCUCACUUUACAGACGAGGAAGUUGAGGCCUACAGAGGCCUCCACAGCCAGGGUCACAAGGGUAUAAACA